rnacentral:lncRNA from 1 species
GGGAAUGUCAAAACAGCAAUUCGUUCUAAAAUUAGUGUAAAUACCUCAACAACUGGAAAUAAACUUAGAAGAGCCAAACAAAUGCCGGAAAAUAGGAAAUCGGAGUCAGCAACUUAUCACGGCAGAAACAGCAACAUCACAACUUACUCGAGGAUGCAGUCGUUUGGAAACCAAGAGGAUCUUGGGCUUCUCAGCUUUACUAGGCGUGUUAGCAUUUGAUACAAUAGUUGCUGUAGUAGAACGAAACUAGAUGCUAAGGCCAAAAUCGGAUCAAGAAAGAGAUGGACCAACUAACAUGGGAUCUAUGUUAGGAGAUGUAAGAUAGAGCUCCAUACGGGAGGUUCUCAUGGGAGUUGAUGGUAUCACCGUUUGCUCUCUCUAUUUUUCAGAGCAGGAGAGAUCUUCUUUUGC